GCCUAUUGUCUAUAAAUUAUUUCCUGAUUUUGUUCUUCUUCAGAUGUGGCCAGCACUCUCGCUGUGGGCAUACUACUCGCUUUUGUUACCUUGUAUGGUAUCAUCAUAACAUUGAUGUACCUGCAUCUCAGACGCUCUAAAAUCGCUCUAAAACCGCCAGUCAGUGACAGGGAGGGACAGGAACUAGAUCCAUACACGUCCUUAGAUGCAACAACUAUGAAGCAACCAACCUACGAAGACAUCAAAGCAACUAGACACGGAAAUAGAGGCCACACAAAUGCAAUCGAGGGGGUAGAAUAUGAAAAUCAAACAAUACUAAAGCAAACAGCUAGAGUGAAGAAAUCAAACUUAGGAGUAGCCGAUGAGAAUACUGAGCCGGACUACGAGUUGCCAGUUGUAAAGUGAUUCCAUGAAGUAGGACCCAGAACGAGCUUUAAAAUACAGUCAAACCUGACUAUUAAGGUCAUUCCACGGAAAAAUAAUGGCCACACCCUGUAAAAUUGUUGCCUUGCUAUAAACAGCUUCUACAGUUAGUUUUCACAAGGGAGAAAAGAUGCAUGGCACUAAAGAGAGGUGGCUAUGAAGACAAGUUUGACUAUAUAUCAUGAGCUCUAUAAGUAAAGGUAUACAUGUAGCGAGUUUGUCAAAAUAUCAUAGGCUGUUACUUGAUAAUCUCUGAUGUUGUUGUUGUUAAUAGUAUAUUAGUAAAGCGCUUAGAGACAUUGUAUUAAGCGCUAUAUAAAAGCUGAAUAUUAUUGUAUUAUUACUAAUUUCAUCAUUCCUUUUAUAAUAAAUAGGAUAUAGGGUGCGUUAGGCCAGUAAAAUAUCAAGGUUUCGGAUAGGAUAGGUAUUACAACUGUAAUAAACAAGGAUAGGAUUAGUUUUUAUUAGAACUGAUCUCGCAAGAGGGAGUUUGAUUUAAUGUGUAUCAUUAGCGUAUUAAGCCGAAGCAAGGGUGAACUUUAAAGCCAUAUUGUAUUACCUUCGCGACCAAUAACAGGACACACACUACACCAUGAUACUACACGUAGUA